ACACAUGCAAGUCGAGGGGCAGCAUGAUUGAAGCUUGCUUCAAUUGAUGGCGACCGGCGCACGGGUGAGUAACGCGUAUCCAACCUUCCGUACACUCAGGGAUAGCCUUUCGAAAGAAAGAUUAAUACCUGAUGGUAUGAUGAGAUUGCAUGAUAUCAUCAUUAAAGAUUCAUCGGUGUACGAUGGGGAUGCGUUCCAUUAGGUAGUAGGCGGGGUAACGGCCCACCUAGCCGACGAUGGAUAGGGGUUCUGAGAGGAAGGUCCCCCACAUUGGAACUGAGACACGGUCCAAACUCCUACGGGAGGCGGCAGUGAGGAAUAUUGGUCAAUGGACGAGAGUCUGAACCAGCCAAGUAGCGUGAAGGAUGAAGGUCCUACGGAUUGUAAACUUCUUUUAUAAGGGAAUAAAACCUCCCACGUGUGGGAGCUUGUAUGUACCUUAUGAAUAAGCAUCGGCUAACUCCGUGCCAGCAGCCGCGGUAAUACGGAGGAUGCGAGCGUUAUCCGGAUUUAUUGGGUUUAAAGGGAGCGCAGACGGGUCGUUAAGUCAGCUGUGAAAGUUUGGGGCUCAACCUUAAAAUUGCAGUUGAUACUGGCGUCCCUGAGUGCGGUUGAGGUGUGCGGAAUUCGUGGUGUAGCGGUGAAAUGCUUAGAUAUCACGAAGAACUCCGAUUGCGAAGGCAGCACACUAAGCCGUAACUGACGUUCAUGCUCGAAAGUGUGGGUAUCAAACAGGAUUAGAUACCCUGGUAGUCCACACGGUAAACGAUGGAUACUCGCUGUUGGCGAUAUACUGUCAGCGGCUUAGCGAAAGCGUUAAGUAUCCCACCUGGGGAGUACGCCGGCAACGGUGAAACUCAA
rnacentral:rRNA from 1 species